CCUACGGGUGGCAGCAGUGAGGAAUAUUGGUCAAUGGACGCAAGUCUGAACCAGCCAUGCCGCGUGCAGGAAGACGGCUCUCUGAGUUGUAAACUGCUUUUGUACGAGGGUAAACGCAGAUACGCGUAUCUGUCUGCAAGUAUCGUACGAAUAAGGAUCGGCUAACUCCGUGCCAGCAGCCGCGGUAAUACGGAGGAGUCAAGCGUUAUCCGGAUUUAUUGGGGUUAAAGGGUGCGUAGGCGGUCGGAUAAGUUAGAGGUGAAAUCCCGAGGCUCAACUUCGGAAUUGCCUCUGAUACUGGUCGGCUAGAGAGUAGUGGAGGUAGGCGGAAUGUAUGGUGUAGCGGUGAAAUGCUUAGAGAUCAGACAGAACACCGAUUGCGAAGGCAGCUUACCAAGCUACUUCUGACGUUGAGGCACGAAAGCGUGGGGAGCAAACAGGAUUAGAUACCCCAGUAGUC
rnacentral:rRNA from 1 species